UACGGGGGGGGCAAGCGUUGUUCGGAAUUACUGGGCGUAAAGGGCGCGUAGGCGGUUUGUACAGUCAGACGUGAAAUUCCUGGGCUCAACCUGGGGGCUGCGUUUGAUACGUGCAGACUUGAGUUCGGAAGAGGGUCGUGGAAUUCCCAGUGUAGAGGUGAAAUUCGUAGAUAUUGGGAAGAACACCGGUGGCGAAGGCGGCGACCUGGUCCGAUACUGACGCUGAGGCGCGAAAGCGUGGGGAGCAAACAGG
rnacentral:rRNA from 1 species